AGAGUACCUCUGACAGCCCAAUCUGGCAGGGAAAACCAGAACAUCUACCGGAUUGUGGCAGUGAUUUGCAGCUGCAUGUUUUAUGUCGCUACAACGGGCAGAUCCUUCUGCCUACUGUCCAGGGUGAAAAGUAUGUUUUUGAAGGACCAGGCAUCUCUUUAGACGCAAACACCACAUCCUGCCCAGAAUUGCGCUCUGAAGUGGAUCCACUAAAAAAUUCAGCUCAGCACAGUCAUGGUUGUAACUGGACAGUUUGGAUUAUCAUUGUAGCAGCCAGUGUGAUGUUGGUGAUCCAGUGAGAGAAGACAAUCAAGCUGAAGUACAAGCCUACUUCCCUUCUUUCCUCAUAUUACUUCUUUUACACCAAGCUACUCUUAUGCAUUAAUUACAUGUUACUAAACUUGCUGUAGCAGCUUAAUUUACAGUAUUCUCUAGUCUUGCAGUAAUCCUUUAAAUUGAUCAGCACAAAUUGAGACUUUAUUUAAGGUAAUCCUCAUGAUUACGGAAUUAUUAAUAUCAACAUUGGCCUGUACUUCGAGAAUGAGGAAAACCUGAGAGCUAUUCCCCUGCUGAACCAGCAAUAAUCAAUCCUGUGUGUUUGCUCUGCUGUCAUAUACCACCCAGUAUUUUUUGGGCCACUUUUGCACUGCUGUCUCGUUCUUUCAUCUGUAGCUACUUCUGACUUGUUGCAGUAUUAUGUUAUGGACCUGCCCCUUUGCACUUUACUCCUCAUCUAGUUUUUUUUCCUUGCUGUAACUUUCUUGAGUGUGUGUGUCUCUAUAUGAAUAAAUAUCUAUUUAUCUAUA